rnacentral:rRNA from 1 species
AAACCAACAGGGAUUGCCUCAGUAACGGCGAGUGAAGCGGCAACAGCUCAAAUUUGAAAUCUGGCCUCUUUGGGGUCCGAGUUGUAAUUUGUAGAGGAUGUUUCGGGCACCGCUCCGGUUUAAAUUUCUUGGAACAGAAUGUCAAAGAGGGUGAGAACCCCGUCUUGGACCGGCAGUAGGGCCCAUGUGAAACUCCUUCGACGAGUCGAGUUGUUUGGGAAUGCAGCUCAAAAUGGGUGGUAAAUUUCAUCUAAAGCUAAAUAUUGGCCAGAGACCGAUAGCGCACAAGUAGAGUGAUCGAAAGAUGAAAAGCACUUUGAAAAGAGAGUUAAACAGUACGUGAAAUUGUUGAAAGGGAAGCGCUUGCAACCAGACUUGCGCGCGGCGGUUCCCCCUUCCUUUUGGUUGGGUUAUUCCGCCGUGUCCAGGCCAACAUCGGUUCUGGGGGUCGGUUAAAGGCCUGGGGAAUGUAUCUACCCUUCGGGCGUAGACUUAUAGCCCCGGGUGUCAUGCGACCUCCCGGGACCGAGGAACGCGCUUCGGCUCGGAUGUUGGCGUAAUGGUUGUCAGCGAC